ACAGAGGGUGCGAGCGUUAAUCGGAAUUACUGGGCGUAAAGCGCACGCAGGCGGUCGGAUGAGUCGGAUGUGAAAGCCCUGGGCUUAACCUGGGAAUGGCGCUUGUGACUGGCGGGCUGGAGUACGGCAGAGGGGGGUGGAAUUCCACGUGUAGCAGUGAAAUGCGUAGAGAUGUGGAGGAACACCGAUGGCGAAGGCAGCCCCCUGGGCCGAUACUGGCGCUCAUGCACGAAAGCGUGGGGAGCAAACAG
rnacentral:rRNA from 1 species